GAUGAACGCUGGCGGUAUGCUUAACACAUGCAAGUCGAACGGACUCUUCGGAGUUAGUGGCGGACGGGUGAGUAACGCGUGAGAAUCUGGCUUUGGGUUCGGGACAACCACUGGAAACGGUGGCUAAUACCGGAUGUGCCGAGAGGUAAAAGAGAAAUUGCCUGAAGAUGAGCUCGCGUCUGAUUAGCUAGUUUGUGAGGUAAAGGCUCACCAAGGCAGCGAUCAGUAGCUGGUCUGAGAGGAUGACCAGCCACACUGGGACUGAGACACGGCCCAGACUCCUACGGGAGGCAGCAGUGGGGAAUUUUCCGAAAUGGGCGAAAGCCUGACGGAGCAGUACCGCGUGAGGGAAGAAGGCUCUUGGGUUGUAAACCUCUUUUCUUAGGGAAGAACAAAAUGACGGUACCUAAGGAAUCAGCAUCGGCUAACUCCGUG
rnacentral:rRNA from 1 species